rnacentral:rRNA from 1 species
GUCUACAGCCAUGCCACCCUGAACAAGUCUGAUCCCAUCUGAUCUCAGAAGCUAAGUAGGGUCGGGCCUGGUUAGUACUUGGAUAGAAAACUACCUAGGAAGAACAGGUGCUGUAGGCA